rnacentral:misc_RNA from 1 species
GAUGAAGAACGUAGCGAACUGCGAUAAGUAAUGUGAAUUGCAGAAUUCAGUGAAUCAUCGAGUCUUUGAACGCACAUUGCGCCCCCUGGCAUUCCGGGGGGCAUGCCUGUCCGAGCGUCACUGCUGCCCUUCAAGCCCGGCUUGUGUGUUGGGUCGUCGUCCCCCCCGGGGGACGGGCCCGAAAGGCAGCGGCGGCACCGCGUCCGGUCCUCGAGCGUAUGGGGCUUUGUCACCCGCUCGAUUAGGGCCGGCCGGGCGCCAGCCGGCGUCUCCAACCUUCUAUUUUACCAGGUUGACCUCGGAUCAGGUAGGGAUACCCGCUGAACUUAAGCAUAUCAAUAAGCGGAGGA